rnacentral:misc_RNA from 1 species
UUUUUUUUUUUUUUUAAAGAAAACCACAUGCCUUCAUAAAAUUAACUUACAAAAUGGUAAAAUAACAAGUAUGAUUUCUGAGACCGUUAACUGGCCAAAUUUAAGAUUAAAACUAUUCUUCUUAGGCGACCUUGUUCAAAGACAUUGUAUAGUGACUGCUUGGCAAUGAAAUUCGUCAAAAAAAUACAUUCAUUCGCUCUCCAAAAAGUAGACAAAAAUUUUCUAUCAAUGCGGAUAAAAUUUCAAUUAGCAUUCUAACGCUUCUGGACUCAGCUACUUGUUCUAUCAGCACUGGUCUGAGUCUCUGCAAGAACUGCUGCCCCACAAUUGACGCUAGACAUUUUUCUUCUUCCCUAAAUUAGCUUCAGCCAGCUGUUGUCUUUUUCUCCAAGCUGGAAUCCUACCUGGGAAAGCCCAUCUCAACAAUCUCUCCCACGUGUGGCAGACCAAAAACAUAAGAAAUGCCCAAACCAAAAGCUUAUUCCUCAAUCCUGGAGGCAAUGGCACCAACUUUAACCAGUCAUUCAAGUCCCUGAAUAGAUCAGAAGUGAUAACCGUGAAGAAACCUACAGCAGCCAAUAGGGCAUACAAAAAUGGUUUAUUUUCUGUGAUGCUCUGGUUGAAAGGAUGGCCCAUAUAAUUCACAGCAAAAGUGGCCACCUGGAGCAUCAUGCUCACCAUAUAUGAAACUGUGUUCACCAGAUUGGGAUGAAAAUCAGAAUCUGGCUCAAUGCAUUCAUCGGGCAUAUACUUCUCCGCCUCUUUGACAGAAGAUAUCAAGAAAAACAGGUGGACUGAAAACUGUCCCAUGAGAGAAAGGAAGACGUAGAAGCAGAAAAUAUUGGGGUGGGGCCGUUCCGCUGAAAGAAUGGGAAGGGGGCGAGCAUGUGAGAUAAAUAGAAAAAAAGCUGCAGUAAAGACACCGCUGAUUGUGGCCUGAAUAUCACCAAGCUUGACACCAUCCAAAUACAUGACACUCAACACAUAUGCCGUAGCAAGGCAGUUAAGGCCCAGUAUUUUAAACAUCUGGAGAGUAGUAACAAGGGUACUGCGACCUUGACGAAUUAUGUCGGUCGUAGGGGCAACUGAAGCAUGUUUUGCUGUAAAAGGAGAGGCCAUUGAAGCAUCACCAAGCUUGACAAUGGGAGCUGAGCGACCAUCGCCUUCCUCAUUCAUUUCAUCCAUAAGUUUUUUCAGCUUCUGUCGUUGCACUUCUGCAGCCGUCUGAGGACGGUUACCAACUAAGGGGCUACUGGAAUCUGAUUUUGCAACAACCUUGCCUUUCAUAGAACCUUCCCCAUUUAGAUUACUAGAUUUGCCUGCCACUUCUGAUGUGGGUUUUGAUUUUUUUGAUUUGAUAAACUUAGGGUUUCCAUCUUUAGAUAUUUCUGUGGAAGAGUUUCCACUUUGUGCAGGAGGCACUGCAUUCAAUAAUGCAACUCCUACAUGGGCCUGCUUCAAAGCUCCAACAUCAUUGGUUCCAUCCCCACACAUCAAUGUUAUCCUUCCCACUGUUUUGAAAGUAGUCAUAAUUUGUUCCUUUUGCUCAGGAGCAACUCUUGCAAAGACCUUGACAUGAGGAAUGACUCGAAGAACAGCAGAACUCUGCUGCAACAUCUCAAUGCAGUCACCUCCAAUGCAGAGAUCAUGAGUUUCUGAUAAAGCUCCAACCUCUUUAUCAUUGUAAUGGAUUUUCUCUGCCUCAUCUGGUGAUAUCCAUUCAUAUCCUUCAGGAUGCCUGGCUCGACCAAGAAUUAAUGCUGGUUUUGAUAUGAUAUGCACUUGGCCAGCAACAUGGCAGGCUGUCAAAGCCUGGUCACCCGUGAUCAUCACCAAGUCAUGUGAUGAAUUCUUUAAUUCAGAUAAAAUUGCGGCUGAAUCUGCUCUUAUAGGACAAUUAAAUACCGCAAAACCAGCAAAAGUAAGGCCACUUUCUACUACAUCUCUAUCCAAGCUUCUAGCCUCACUAACUGUCAUGUCCGGAAGGGACUUGAAAGCAAGGGCCAGAACCCGAGAACCUUGGCGUGUAUAUUUCUUAUAAGUAUCAACAUAAGAUUGUGGCAAAUCAAUAAGUCUAUCCUGAAUAGUUUCUGGUGCACCCUUCACAAAAGCAAGAAAUUCAUCCUGUAUGCGAACAACAACUGCCAUUCGUUUUAAAUGGGAUGCAAAAUGAUGCCUUUGGACAAUCUGCACAGCAUUGCCACCUCCCCUUUUUGGCAUGGCCUUCUCAUCAGAUUUGUAACUCCAGUCUAUCCCUUUAAGUGCAGCCUUCUCAAGAGGAUCACCAACCAGUUUGUUGUCCACAAACACUAACGCAUGACAAGAAGCCAAAAUUUCCACAGUUCGAACGGGCACUUUAGUCAUAUCAGAUUCUAAAUUCAUUCCGUCAGUCAACCCAACAACUCCACAGAACUCCAUGUCAUCUGAAGUAAGCGUUCCAGUUUUAUCAAAACAACAUAUGUCAACCUGCAGGCAAAAGUGAAGAUAAUAUUUGUCAUAAAAUGCACACAAACAAUCCUAUUGUGCAGUUAACAAUAGGUUAAUUAACCAUACAGGCCAGAAUUUGACCAUAAGUCCAAGAAAAGAUUAUACAACGCCAUUACAUUCCACUUACCAUUAAAACAUUGGGGCAUUUACCAACUUCAAUUUAAAUGCAACAAAGAUAAAAGAAGCUAGGUAACCAUAUUAUCUGAAAGCAAGCACUAUCUCAUUUAAUAGAACAAUUGAUGAUACAAAGAAAACCUGUGCAUUCCAGCACACAGACAGUUCUUGGUAAGCCAACUUACUUUCCCAGCAAACGGAAUGCGAAAGGGUUCAGUACAAAAUAUUCCACGUCGUGCCAAUGCAAUAAGAGAUGUAUUGACUGCUAUUGAUAAUUCCAUGGGCAACUCAGGUGGGAUCACAGAAGUUAUAAUAAGCGAACAACUUAGGAAAAGUUUGUAUUUGCUCCUUGUGGGAUCUUCCAGUCCCUUUUUAAGUACAUAACCAGCAGCAAUAACUGCAAAGACAACUAAAAAUAGAAUGAAGAGUCCACUUUCCCAGCUAUUGGCAGUAACCCUAUCUGUGGAAAAUAAAAUUGUCCUCAUCAGUUUCCCCUGGCUUGUUUCAAACCCAGUACGUAGAACAACAGCCACACAGCCACCAUCAGGCGUUCUCAAAGGAAAGGUCUUAUCUGGGGUAUGUUGCAAUAUUUUAGUCCCACCAAAUAAAACAUGGCUUUUAUCCCGCUUAAUUGAUAACUUCUCCUCAGUUCCUCUACCCAUGAUAGAAACCUUCCAUUGUGGAGUAGACUCGCCUGUGAGAAUAGCUUCAUUUACAAUGGCACUUCCGGCUAAUAAAAGCAUGUCUGCAGGCACUGACUUAUCUUCUCCACUCGGACCAGAGGAGCGCCCAAUGGACAAAACAUCGCCAGGCAAAAGAUCAGUCCCAGGAAGUUUCACCCACUUCCCACAGCGAUGGACCAUAAGGAUCUGGCUAUCAACUCUAACACGCCUUAACUCACUUAGAGUCUUCAACCUACUUUUUGCCAUUGUUGACUCAAACAUAAACAGCAUGAACAAAGUGAACAAACUGUAAUACCAAUACUCAUCCAAACACCAGAGUCCUACACAGAAGACCUGAAAUACAAAAAAAGGCUCCAUGCAGUGCUCUUUCAUUAAUUUCUGGAAUGUAGGUUGCGGAUAUUCAAAUACAUUCCGCCCCCACUUUUCAGUAGCAGCUACUACUUUACCCUCAGAGCCAUGACCAGUAAUUUUAAGAUAGUUGCCAAACGUUUCCUUGGUAGGGUAAGGAAGCUUGCAAAAUGUCUCCUCCUCUUUGGAAUAGAUGAAGCGCUGCUUUCUAAAAUCAAAGUAAAUCUCUUCUCUGUCCCCCAAGGAUGAAGAACCUUCCAACUGUUUACGAAAAUGCAGCGGCACUACUUCUUUGGAACCGGAAAACUUUGCCGGAGUUAUUUUACAAGCAUCUGCAAGGUGAAUAUCAUGAACCUUACUAAACUGAACGAAACAUUUGAAAUUGACAGACCAUGCAGUAAAAAGCCAGACCAGAAUGUGAAGAGCCACAAGGCCACCAAGGACAAUGGCAGCAUCUGCAAUAUCAAUGCUUGGGACAAUAGCAGUAAUACAGAGAACGUAUAAAAUAGCAAAAGGCCAUACAUCCAAACGCCAUGCCCAAUGCUUCUUCCUCAACAAAUCCACUCUCUCCACCACUUUCCCUCCAACAUGAAAGCUCGACAUCUCAAUUCUUUAACCCUAAAACCCUAAUUCAGAUGAAGCCUAUGAGGACUGAGAAGCGGCGAGUUUGACGUCCGUCUGUGUAGAAGCGAGACUAACUGACUGAGAGAUAGGUUACGAUGGCGAUGACAGAGGGCUGCCGACCAGACUGAGGACUUGUGGAUUCAGAGAAAUCUGAAGCUGAAGCAAAAGACUAAAAU